GCAAACUUGGUCAUUUAGAGGAAGUAAAAGUCGUAACAAGGUUUCCGUAGGUGAACCUGCGGAAGGAUCAUUAAAAAAAUUCACAGAAUUUCGUAUUCUUAAACCCCUGCAGUGUACCUGUUCUUGUUGCUUCCGUGGGUAGUAGGCAUUGCGCUUGCGGCCACCUUGCGUUAUGGUGGGCCUGCGGGAGAUAAUUAAUAUACUCUGUCUUUACACGAUACCUGUCUGAGCUGAUUUGAUAAAUGUUAAAACUUUCAACAACGGAUCUCUUGGUUCUCGCAUCGAUGAAGAACGCAGC
rnacentral:misc_RNA from 1 species